rnacentral:lncRNA from 1 species
UUUAGUUUCUUUAUAAUUAACUAAGUAUUAAUUGACUUGUUGAUCUUAAUAAUUGAUUCCAGGCUGCUUUUUCUUUCCAACCCUGAAAAAAUUGAAUCAUGGAAUUAACAAGUGAAUACUUUUCUCAACGCUUUGACAAACCUUCAUCAAACAAACUUUCCACUAAACGAAAACCAGGCAAAUCAAAAGGAAAUAAGAGCAGUAGCAACAGUAAUCAAAGGUAAAUAUCACCAUCCAGUUAUGUUCUACAACCGUUUUCCAUUGAUUUAAAAAGUGUAUUCCAUCAUUUAGUCUCAAAUUUCAACAAUUUAAAAUAGUUACUUCUUAAAUUUCUUUCAUUUUUGAAUUUGAAAGAAGCAGAAUCCCCAAGUAUAAUUGGUAAGUAUUAUUGCAAUGAUGCAUUGUGUACAUUCAUGACUGUUUCAAUGCUCCUCUAAAAUCAAUACAUCAACUCUUUGACCCCUGAGUUAGAUUUUCACACCAUGCUCCCCCAGCCUAGAUUUUCACACCAUGCUCCCCCAGCCUAGGUUAUGAAUGGGAAAAAUGUCUGUUUUUAGUUUUCUUACCUUCAUUUGCUUAUAUCUCAAUCAAAAAGCUUGGAAUUGUGUGUGCUUUAUCCUUAAGUAUGUAGAAGUGUAGAUCAGGCACUAAAAGUCAAUCACCAGCACCCAAUUUUGUUUAAAAUAAAUAACUUAAAAAAUGAAGAUUUUUGAAGUCCUAAGACGAGAAUUCUCGUCUGUAGGAGUCAUGAUCAAAUGUAUCUAAGAGAUCAUAUACCUAGGUUUUUUUUUUUUUUUUUUUGGUCCACAGGCGUAUAAUCCCUCGGGAUAUCUAGAAUAUAGAUCAUGCAGGGGGCCGUGAAUUUCAUCACAUUGAAGAGUUUUCAGAAUAAUUUUGAUGGUACCCAUCUUUUUUUAUAUAUUCCAGUAAAAGACGCUCCUCCCUGAGUGAAUUUUUCCGAGCAGGUUCAUCAUCCAAAAAAAUCAAUCUUCCGAGAGAAAGUGCUCUCAAAACAGCAACAAACACCUCAACAAUAUCCAGUGAUGAAUGCUCAAGAGACUCGUCUUCAUUUCAAAGUUCAGAUCAGCAACCAGAAACGAAGCAUGAUGUGAACAUAUACCUAGAAGAUACUGUAAUCCUGCCAAAAUCUCAUCCAAAAAAUCCAUUUGAACCAAACAGCAACAUUUAUCUGGAUGAAACUAUCUCAUGCUUUCAGGAGGCCAGUACAGCACCUUCUUCUAAAAAGGUAGAAAAACCAAAAAAGAGUGAGCCUGCAUCUAGCAAUGAUACUUUAGAAGAUGUUAGGUGGAAGAGACUAAAUGAACUCAAACGUUGCCCCAUAUGCCUGAAGAAAUUUGAAAAAUUGGUCCCUCACAUCAAAUCUUGUGCCACCAAGCAAAGUAUCUCAACGGACCAACUUUUCAAAGCAAUAGAUUUGCAGCUGAAACAAAAUGAAGAAAGAGCUGCGCUUGGUUUUCUCUCUUCCCAAACUGUCAGGCCAACAACCCGCAGAACAACUUCAUCAUCGAAGGUAGACUUUUAAUGAUUUUUUGUUGUUACCUCUGUUCUAAUUUUUAAGGAAUUUUAAAUUAAUACUAUGUACUUCCAUUCAAUGAACAAUGUUCAAAAAUAAUCAUUGAUGAUGGAUGUAUGUUUUCUUUAAGUUACGUUUACAGCACGUCUGUCCAGACCCUCUGAAGUACCUAAUUACCACCCUUGCUUUGUGCCUGUUGGAUAUAGGAUACAUAUCAUCUAUGGCCACACUAAACAAAAUUAAAAAUGUAUACCGAGGCUCGUGUUGUAGCCAAACCUCGAUUUUGACUAUCACCAGCCAUUAAAAUAAGGUCGCAAGUCUACUAAAGUAUGUACUUCUCAAGGGUGGUCGUCCCUUCACUUUGGUACAAUCAGUGUAAUUAAUCAGGAUCCUAUACAUUUAUCCAUGUACUGCUUGGUAGAAUUGUUCACUUAAACGAUGGUGGGGCCAGAUUUUUGUUUUACUUAAGCUACAACCAUAACUUAGUAAAUUUUUCAACUGAGUGAGUUAAUCUUGAACUCAUACUCAAUCGGCAGUUUCUAAGUUGAUCUUUCAUGAAAACAUGAUUUAGCAUCUUGUCAGCUCAGUUUUUAAAUUACAGAACUAGCCAGACUACUUUUUGGAUAUCCUCUGUAUCAUUGAUCUCUGCUUGUUUUUUCCUCUGUUUCUUUCAGGGUUCAAAAGAUGCCAGUUUGGAGUUAGCACUUGCUCUUUCCA